CAACUUACUGACAUUGGGUGUAAAUUCUGAUGUGAAGUUUGAGUCUUGCCUUCUGCGUUUGGAUUGUACUGUUCUAAUGACUGCUAAUUUUCAACAGUAUUUAAGUUACAGUGCGUGCUUUUGCUUGGGUUCCAGGCUGUGCUGACCUGCGUGGGUUUGUGGAGCGUGUUUCCUUUGUUCUUGUCAACACGGUGAGGAGAUCAAUAAUCACCUGCAGAGUGAAGAUUCACAAGGAUGUUGCCAGGACUCGAGAGCCUGAGCUACAGGGAGAGGUUGGGUAGGCUGGGACUCUAUUCCUUGGAGCGCAGGAGGAUGGGAGCGGGUACUGGAGGCUAUUACUGUAAACAUCCUCAUCAGCUCAGUGAUUCUGAAUAUAUGAAUAUGUAGAGACUGAAGCCAUGCAAAAAUUGCAUGCUUUGGAAAAAAAACACAAAGCAGUCUUGGUAUAUUAAUGCAAAAUCACAAUCCAAGAAAUGAAUGAAUCAGAAUAAAGUUCUGAAGUCAUAGUCAUACAGCGUGGAAACAGGCCCUCUACUUCCUGAGAAGAUUACGGGGAGUCGGUUUGUCAUGGAGGACUCCCUAUAACUUCUACAGGUGCACAGUCAAGAGCAUGCUGAUCGGUUGCAUCAUGGCUUGAUUCGUCAACUUGAGUGCCCAGGAGCGGAAAAGACUACAAAAAGUAGUAAACACUGCCCAGUCCAUCAUCGGCCCUGACCUCCCUUCCAUCGAGGGGAUCUAUUGCUGUCACUGCGUCAAAAAGGCUGGCAGUAUCAUCAAGAACCCACACCAUCCUGGCCACACACUCAUCUCCCCGCUACCUUCAGGUAGAAGAUACAGGAGCUUGAAGACUGCAACAACCAGGUUCAGGAAUAGCUACUUCCCCACAGCCAUCAGACUAUUAAACUUGGCUUGGACAAAACUCUGAACAUUAAUAGCCUAUUAUCUGUUUAUUUGCACUUCAUCAGUUUAUUUAUUCAUGUGUGUAUAUAUUUAUAUUGUGGUAUAUGGACACACUGAUCUGUUUUGUAGUCAAUGCCUACUAUGUUCUGUUGUGCUGAAGCAAAGCAAGAAUUUAAUUGUCCUAUCAGGGACACAUGACAAUAAACUCUCUUGAAUCUUGAAUCUUGAAUCUUCUUCUAAAGACCUACAGGUUUGUAGGUUAAUUGCCCAAGGCAGAAAAAUUGUAAAUUGUCCUGAGUGUGUAGGAUAGUGUUACAGUACGUGGUGAUUACUGGUCGGCGCGGACUCGGUCGGCCUAAAGGCCUCUUGCCUGCUGUAUCCCUAAACUGAACUAAAAUUAGUUCUGCACCAGGGUUUAUUCCAGAGUUUAAAGGAGAUGUGCGGGGCAAGUUUUCUUUUACACAGAGAGGGGGAUGAUGGUGGAGGCAGAUGCUUUAGUGUCAUUUGUAGGUGAGUUGGUUUCUGUUAAUAGCCCCUAGAGUGUGUGAUAGAGCUAGUGAAUGGGUGAUCACUGGUUGGUGUGGGCUGAAGGGCCUGAUUCUGUGCUGUAUCUCUGACGUCUAAAUUCAUGAAGCAGAUUGUGUCAGUGUCUGCUGAAACAGUUCCAUGUUCGUGAGCAAGAUGUUGUCUGUGUUUACUUGAUGAAGAAGACUUCGAAAGCAUAGCUUGUGCAGGGGCUCUGGAACUGUGUGAAUUAUAAUUAGACAGUCUUCGGUUUUUACAAUUUGUUAUAUCAAUAUCUCUGCACUCAGUGUUUGUGCACAGAGAAUAAUUUAAUGAGAAUGCUAUACUCAAACAGAUUACUGGCCUCACCUGCACAUAAUGUGAUAUCUGCUCUCGGCCCGCACCAAGGUAACGCUUGACACUUCUCUGGAAAUCUGUAACCAGCCAUCAGCGGCACUGUGGCACAGCGGUAGAGCUGUUGCCUCGCAGCGCCAAACACCCGGGUUCGAUCCUAACUAUAGACGCUGUCUGUAUGGAGUUUGUACGUUCUCCCUGUGAUUGCGUGGGUUUUCUCCGGAUGCUCCAGUUUCCUCUCACACUCCAAAUGCCAACAGGUUUAUAGGUUAAUUGGCUUUGGUAAGUUAUAAAAUUGUCCCUUGUGUUAGUGUAGGUGAUCACUGUUCGUGGACUUGGAGGGCCAAAGUGUUUGUUUCUGUGCUGUAUCUCUAAAGUCUAAACUGGUAUUUAGUUGAUUGCUGGUCAGUGUGGACUCAGUGGGCCUGUUUCUAUGCUGUAUCACUAAAACUAAAACUAAAACUAAACUACUGGAGCAACUGAACGGGCCAGGCAGCAUCUGUGGAGGGAUUGCAACGGUGCCAUAUUGGAUCAAGACUGAAGAAGGUUCCCGAACCAAAAUGUCGUUUGUCCAUUUCCUCCCCAGAUGCUGCCUGCUACAGGCUCAUUAAGGAAUUGCCUUUUUCAUCUUUCCCAAAUAUGUUGGCGACAUGUGUCUCAAACUAACCAUAUAACCAUAUAACAAUUACAGCACGGAAACAGGCCAUCUCGGCCCUACAAGUCCGUGCCGAACACUUAUUUUCACAUAGUCCCAUCUACCUGCACUCAGACCAUAACCCUCCAUUCCUUUCCCAUCCAUAUACCUAUCCAAUUUAUUUUUAAAUGAUAAAAUCGAACCUGCCUCCACCACUUCCACUGGAAGCUCAUUCCACACAGCUACCACUCUCUGAGUAAAGAAGUUCCCCCUCAUGUUACCCCUAAACUUCUGUCCCUUAAUUCUGAAGUCAUGUUCUCUUGUUUGAAUCUUCCCUACUCUCAAUGGGAAAAGCUUAUCCAGGUCAACUCUGUCUAUCCCUCUCAUCAUUUUAAAGACCUCUAUCAAGUCCCCCCUUAACCUUCUGCACUCCAAAGAAUAAAGACCUAACUUAUUCAACCUUUCUCUGUAACUUAGUUGCUGAAACCCAGGCAACAUUCUAGUAAAUCUCCUCUGUACUCUCUCUAUUUUUGUUGACAUCCUUCCUAUAAUUAGGCGACCAAAAUUGUACACCAUACUCCAGAUUUGGUUUCACCAAUGUCUUGUACAAUAUUAACAUUACAUCCCAACUUUUAUACUCAAUGCUCUGAUUUAUAAAUGCUAGCAUACCAAAAGCUUUCUUUACCACCCUAUCUACAUGAGAUUCCACCUUCAGGGAAUUAUGCACAGUUAUUCCUAGAUCCCCCUGUUCAACUGCAUUCAUCAAUUCGCUACCAUUUACCAUGUACGUCCUAUUUUGAUUUGUCCUGCCAAGAUGUAGCACCUCACACUUAUCAGCAUUAAAUUCCAUCUGCCAUCUUUCAGCCCAUUCUUCCAAAUGGCCUAAAUCCCUCUAUAGAUUUUGGAAAUCUACUUCAUUAUCCACAACACCACCUAUCUUAGUAUCAUCUGCAUACUUACUAAUCCAAUUUACCACACCUUCAUCCAGAUCAUUGAUGUACAUGACAAACAACAGUGGACCAAACACAGAUCCCUGAGGCACCCCACUAGUCACUGGCCUCCAACCUGAAAAACAGCCAUCCACCAUUACUCUCUGGCAUCUCCCAUUCAGCCACUGUUGAAUCCAUCUUGCUACUCCUGCAUGAAUACCCAACAAUUGAACCUUCUUAACCAACUUUCCAUGAGGAACCUUGUCAAAGGCCUUACUAAAGUCCAUAUAGACAACAUCCACUGCAUUACCCUCAUCAAUUUCCCUAGUAACCUCUUCAAAGAAUUCAAGAAGAAUAUAUUUAUAGAGCCCAGCACUAUUUAAUUGCUGCCUGAUGUGACACACAUCAAACAGAAAUAAAGAACUGAUCUUAUAAGAGGUGUAUAAAAUCAUGAGGGGAAUAGACACUGUCUUUUUUCCUUGGGCUAGGAGAAUCUGGAGAACUAGGUUCUCUGGCUGCCAAAGGAGAUGGUUGCGGCAGGUACAACAACAAGAUUUAAAAGACAUUUGGACAGGUACAUGGAUAGGAAAGGGUUUGAGGAAUAUGGUCCAAACAUGGGCAAAUAGAUGGGGCAUAGACACGAGACAAUAGGUGCAGGAGUGGGCCAUUCGGCCCUUCGAGCCAGCACCGCCAUUUACUGUGAUCAUGGCUGAUCAUCCACAAUCAGUAUCCCGUUCCUGCCUCCUCUCCAUAUCCCUUGACUCUGCUAUCUUUAAGAGCUCUAUCUAUCUCUCUCUUGAAAGCAUCCAGAGAAUUGGCCUGCACUGCCUUCCGAAGCAGAGAAUUUCACAGAUUCAAAACCCUCCUUGUGAAAACGUUUCUCCUCAUCUCCGUUCUAAAUGGCUUACCCCUUAUUCGUAAAAUGUGGCCUCUGCUUCUGGACUCCUCCAACAUCAGGAACAUGUUUCCUGCUUCUAGUGUGUCCAAUAAGAUGUUUCAAUAAGAUCCUCACUCAUCCUUCUAAAUUCCAGAGUAUACAAGCCCAGCCGUUCCAUUCUAUCAUCA